AUUGAACGCUGGCGGCAGGCUUAAUACAUGCAAGUCGAGCGGGGUGAUGGUGCUUGCACUAUCACUUAGCGGCGGACGGGUGAGUAAUGCUUAGGAAUCUGCCUAUUAGUGGGGGACAACAUCUCGAAAGGGAUGCUAAUACCGCAUACGUCCUACGGGAGAAAGCAGGGGAUCACUUGUGACCUUGUGCUAAUAGAUGAGCCUAAGUCGGAUUAGCUGGUUGGUGGGGUAAAGGCCUACCAAGGCGACGAUCUGUAGCGGGUCUGAGAGGAUGAUCCGCCACACUGGGACUGAGACACGGCCCAGACUCCUACGGGAGGCAGCAGUGGGGAAUAUUGGACAAUGGGGGGAACCCUGAUCCAGCCAUGCCGCGUGUGUGAAGAAGGCCUUAUGGUUGUAAAGCACUUUAAGCGAGGAGGAGGCUUACCUAGUUAAUACCUGGGAUAAGUGGACGUUACUCGCAGAAUAAGCACCGGCUAACUCUGUGCCAGCCGCCGCAGUAAAAC
rnacentral:rRNA from 1 species